GGGAAGAACAAGGGGGAAACCCUAACCUCAUCUACUAACAUCAAUUUCAGUAAGAUUGUGAAGAAUUCCAGCCAUAAAUUGAAUGAUUGUGCUUAAUUAUCUUCUAAUCCAAGUGUAUUAAGCAUAAGGAUCGAAAGAAGAAGGAGCUAGUUCCGGAUCACAAACAAAAGCACAAGAUCGAGGUAAAGCACCCGUGUGAUUGUCUUUGCGCCGCUCGGAUACGAACACACCUUGAUCACCCAUGAUGCGCUUCCGCAACUUUUGUAGUAACCUUGAUAGUUUAAGGUUUUUGUCAAAGUUAGUAGUGUUGAAGUUUUAUGUUUUAAAUAGAUGUUUGUGAAUACUUAAGUAACUUAGACUCGAUGUUUGAAACGGUAGUCCAAAUGUUAUGGUCUUUCGUAUGGUUUCUUAAAGGUGUCGCUAUUUGAGUAUUUUGUUAUAUUAAAAACAGGGAAGUUGUUCAA